GGGUUGUGAGGUUAAGCGACUAAGCGUACACGGUGGAUGCCCUGGCAGUCAGAGGCGAUGAAGGGCGUGCUAAUCUGCGAUAAGCGCCGGUAAGGUGAUAUGAACCGUUAUAACCGGCGAUACCCGAAUGGGGAAACCCAGUGUGAUUCGUCACACUAUCAUUAACUGAAUCCAUAGGUUAAUGAGGCGAACCGGGGGAACUGAAACAUCUAAGUACCCCGAGGAAAAGAAAUCAACCGAGAUUCCCCCAGUAGCGGCGAGCGAACGGGGAGGAGCCCAGAGCCUGAAUCAGCAUGUGUGUUAGUGGAAGCGUCUGGAAAGGCGCGCGAUACAGGGUGACAGCCCCGUACACAAAAGCGCAUGUGCUGUGAGCUCGAUGAGUAGGGCGGGACACGUGGUAUCCUGUCUGAAUAUGGGGGGACCAUCCUCCAAGGCUAAAUACUCCUGACUGACCGAUAGUGAACCAGUACCGUGAGGGAAAGGCGAAAAGAACCCCGGCGAGGGGAGUGAAAAAGAACCUGAAACCGUGUACGUACAAGCAGUGGGAGCACAGGUUUACCGGUGUGACUGCGUACCUUUUGUAUAAUGGGUCAGCGACUUAUAUUCUGUAGCAAGGUUAACCGUAUAGGGGAGCCGGAGGGAAACCGAGUCUUAACCGGGCGUUAAGUUGCAGGGUAUAGACCCGAAACCCGGUGAUCUAGCCAUGGGCAGGUUGAAGGUUGGGUAACACUAACUGGAGGACCGAACCGACUAAUGUUGAAAAAUUAGCGGAUGACCUGUGGCUGGGGGUGAAAGGCCAAUCAAACCGGGAGAUAGCUGGUUCUCCCCGAAAGCUAUUUAGGUAGCGCCUCGUGAAUUCAUCUCCGGGGGUAGAGCACUGUUUCGGCUAGGGGGCCAUCCCGGCUUACCAACCCGAUGCAAACUGCGAAUACCGGAGAAUGUUAUCACGGGAGACACACGGCGGGUGCUAACGUCCGUCGUGAAGAGGGAAACAACCCAGACCGCCAGCUAAGGUCCCAAAGUCAUGGUUAAGUGGGAAACGAUGUGGGAAGGC
rnacentral:rRNA from 1 species